AACGAACGCUGGCGGCAUGCCUAACACAUGCAAGUCGAACGAGACCUUCGGGUCUAGUGGCGCACGGGUGCGUAACGCGUGGGAACCUGCCCUUAGGUUCGGAAUAACUCCCCGAAAGGGGUGCUAAUACCGGAUAAUGUCUUCGGACCAAAGAUUUAUCGCCUUUGGAAGGGCCCGCGUUGGAUUAGCUAGUUGGUAGGGUAAAAGCCUACCAAGGCGACGAUCCAUAGCUGGUCUGAGAGGAUGAUCAGCCACACUGGGACUGAGACACGGCCCAGACUCCUACGGGAAGCAGCAGUGGGGAAUAUUGGACAAUGGGCGAAAGCCUGAUCCAGCAAUGCCGCGUGAGUGAUGAAGGCCUUAGGGUUGUAAAGCUCUUUUACCCGGGAUGAUAAUGACAGUACCGGGAGAAUAAGCUCCGGCUAACUCCGUG
rnacentral:rRNA from 1 species